rnacentral:rRNA from 1 species
CUUUAAUGAUUUCCUAGUGGUCUUAUGUACAUGCCUCAUUAGAACUCUAGAGUUAAGUGCGCUUAGGCUAGAGUAGUACUGGGAUGGGUGACCACUCGGAAAGUCCUAAUGUUUUACAUGC